rnacentral:rRNA from 1 species
AACGCCCGGUCCCAUCCCGAACCCGGAAGCUAAGCCCUCCAGCGCCGAUGGUACUGCACUCGCCAGGGUGUGGGAGAGUAGGUCGCCGCCGACA